AGGGGAGACAGAUGGGGGGGGAGCAGGGGGGAGAUGGGAGAGAGAGAAAUAAAUGGACGGACCAUGGAGCACCCCCGGCCACCCUCUCCUGGGCUUCAGGGUCACCCCAAGGGCCGUCGAGCGUGAGAGCACCCACCCCACCCCACCCCCCACCGCAGGCUGCCCCUGCCCCACGCUGGGCGGAAGGGAAGGGGGGCAGCAGCCGGGAGAGAGAUGGGAGGAGAUGGGUGGAUGGACAGAGCUGGGAUGGAGGGAUGGACAGAAGGGGGCAGAGAUGGAUGGGUGGAUGGACACAGAUGGAUGGACGGACAGGGGCAAAGAGGUAGAUGGGUAGCAUGGACAGAUGGAUGAACAGGGCAGAGAUGGAUGGACAGAUGGGGAAGAGAUGGAUGGACGGAUGAACAGACGGAGGCAAAGAUGAAGGGGUAGCAUAGACAGAUGGACAGAGGGAUGGAUGGGGGCAGAGGUGGAUGAAUGAAUGGACAGACGGAUGGACAGACAGAUGGAUGGGGGCAGAGGUGGAUGAAUGGAUGGACGGGGGAAGAGACAGACGGACAGAUGGACAAACGGGGGCAGAGAUGGACGGACAGACGCUGGGUAACCAGAGGGCUGGAGCUGAGCAGCGCCGGGCGGACAGACGGGGCUGGACAAGGGGGCGGAGGGACCCCGGCGGCCGGG